rnacentral:rRNA from 1 species
GAUGAACGCUAGCGGCAGGCCUAACACAUGCAAGUCGAGGGGCAGCAUUUCUUUUCGGAGAAGAUGGCGACCGGCGCACGGGUGCGUAACGCGUAUGCAACCUACCCUUUACUGGAGGAUAGCCCGGAGAAAUUCGGAUUAAUACUUCAUGGCACUAUAAUAUGGCAUCAUAUAAUAGUUAAAGAUUUAUUGGUAAAGGAUGGGCAUGCGUGACAUUAGCUAGUUGGUGAGGUAAAGGCUCACCAAGGCAACGAUGUCUAGGGGUUCUGAGAGGAUGAUCCCCCACACUGGUACUGAGAUACGGACCAGACUCCUACGGGAGGCAGCAGUAGGGAAUAUUGGUCAAUGGGCGAGGGCCUGAACCAGCCAUGCCGCGUGCAGGAAGACGGCCUUCUGGGUUGUAAACUGCUUUUAUCAGGGAACAAAAAGGCCAUGCGUGGCAAACUGAGUGUACCUGAAGAAUAAGCACCGGCUAACUCCGUGCCAGCAGCCGCGGUAAUACGGAGGGUGCAAGCGUUGUCCGGAUUUAUUGGGUUUAAAGGGUGCGUAGGCGGUCGAUUAAUGUCAGUGGUGAAAUCCUACAGCUCAAUCUGUAGAACUGCCAUUGAUACUGGUUGAC